GGGCCCUUAGCUCAGUCUGGUUAGAGCGCUCGGCUCAUAACCGAGUGGUCGAUGGUUCGAAUCCGUCAGGGCCCA
rfam:Halogeometricum pallidum JCM 14848 contig_27, whole genome shotgun sequence.